rnacentral:rRNA from 1 species
GAUGAACGCUGGCGGCGUGCCUAAUACAUGCAAGUCGAGCGCGACUGAUUACACCGUUCUUAUGAACACCGUAAUCAUCGAGCGGCGGACGGGUGAGUAACACGUGGGCAACCUGCCCUUAAGACUGGGAUAACUACGGGAAACCGUAGCUAAUACCGGAUAACACUUUUAAUCAUAAGAUUAGGAGUUAAAAGGUGGAUUUAUCUAUCACUUAAGGAUGGGCCUGCGGCGCAUUAGCUAGUUGGUGAGGUAAUGGCUUACCAAGGCGACGAUGCGUAGCCGACCUGAGAGGGUGAUCGGCCACACUGGAAAUGAGACACGGUCCAGACUCCUACGGGAGGCAGCAGUAGGGAAUCUUCCGCAAUGGGCGAAAGCCUGACGGAGCAACGCCGCGUGUGCGAAGAAGGUCUUCGGAUCGUAAAGCACUGUUGUUAUGGAAGGACGACAGUAAGAGUCACUGCUUACUGUGUGACGGUACUUAACCAGAAAGCCACGGCUAACUACGUGCCAGCCGCCGCCGUAAGAC